AUCUACAUGAAACGUUUGUUUUCCUGCCCACCCUAAAUUACAUGUUUCUGGUGUUCCCACCCUCACGUUGAGCUCCCAGGGCUGCCUUAGCAAAUGUGUAAAUUGAUUUUAAUUCUGCUGUUGCAACGUAACUGCUGGGAACGCCGUCAGAGGGUCAGAUGGUGCCUUUCUUGCCGUGUUUGCUUUCUGGCAUCCAGCUGACGGGUCCCACUGGCCCUGGCUGGACUGUUUGUUCUCUGCUGGGAACGGAGCCGGGCAGAAAAGUGCUGGUUUCCUCCUUGUUUUGAAUUUCUCUGCUCUGCCUGACUCUAUCCUUUGUUGGGAAGCAGCAGAGCCACAAGAAGGAGUAAGAGGGAGCAGGGGCCAAAGGGGCAGCUGUGCACGGACGAGGAGGAGGAGAGCAUCGGAGGAAGGCAGAAGCAGGGGCCCCGCCGCAGGGAGCGAGUCCCGCUGGACAUGUGGUACAUGAGCUGCGCCUGGCGGGCGGCCGCCCCCCGCCGCCUGCCUGCCCCAUGGAGGAGCCCCCGGCCCCGCAGCAGCGCGACCGGCCCCACAGCCAGGAAGAACGUCCCUUACGAGAAGACGCUGCAGGACAACGGCUCCGGGAGCGGGGAGCCCAGCCGGCCCCCGCCGCGCGCCGCAGAGGUGGUGGUGGUCGGGGGGGGCAGCCUGGGCUGUCAGACCACCUACCACUUGGCCAAGCAGGGUGUCAGCAGCGUGGUGCUGCUGGAGCGGGACCGCCUGACCUCGGGCACCACUUGGCACACGGCUGGUCUGCUGUGGCAGCUGCGUCCCAGCGACGUGGAAGUGGAGCUGCUGGCACAUACGCGGGACGUGGUCAGCCGGGAGCUGCCGGCGGAGACGGGGCUGCACACGGGCUGGGUGCAGAACGGGGGGCUCUUCAUCGCCUCCAACAAGCAGCGCCUUGACGAGUACAAGAGGCUCAUGUCGCUGGGGAAGGUGUAUGGAGUGGAGUCCUACGUCCUGACCCCAUCGCAGACCAAGGACCUGUACCCACUGAUGAACAUCGAGGACCUGUACGGCACGCUGUAUGUUCCCAAGGACGGCACCAUGGAUCCGGCCGGUACCUGCUCGACUCUUGCCAGAGCAGCAGCUGCCAGAGGCGCUACGAUCAUCGAGAACUGCCCAGUCAGCGGCAUCCAGGUCAGAGCUGACGAUUUCGGGGUGAAGAGGGUGUACGCGGUGGAGACGGCCCAUGGCACCAUCCAGACUCCCUGUGUGGUGAACUGCGCAGGGGUCUGGGCACCAGCGCUGGGCCGGCUGGCGGGGGUGCACGUGCCGCUGGUGGGGAUGCAUCACGCCUAUGUGGUGACUGAGCGCAUCGAGGGCAUUCAGAACAUGCCGAACGUUCGCGAUCACGACGCCUCGAUCUAUCUCCGUCUCCAAGGCGAUGCCCUGUCUGUGGGUGGAUAUGAGUCAAACCCCAUCUUCUGGGAGGAGGUAUCCGAAAAAUUUGCUUUUGGCCUCUUUGACCUGGACUGGGAUGUUUUCAUGCAACACAUUGAAGGUGCCAUCAACAGAGUUCCAGUGCUGGAGAAAACUGGCAUUAAAUCCACUGUCUGUGGGCCAGAGUCAUUCACAGCCGACCACAAGCCGCUCAUGGGGGAAGCCCCAGAAGUCCGAGGGUUCUUCCUUGGCUGUGGCUUCAACAGCGCUGGGAUGAUGCUGGGAGGUGGCUGCGGGCGGGAACUGGCUCACUGGAUCAUCCAUGGGCGGCCAGAGAAGGACAUGUACGGCUACGACAUCAGGAGGUUUCACUGCUCCCUCACCAACAACAACCGCUGGAUCCGGGAGCGGAGCCACGAGUCCUACGCCAAGAACUACUCCGUCGUCUUCCCCCAUGACGAGCCACUGGCGGGGCGCAAUGUGAGGAAGGACCCACUGCACGAGGAGCUGCUGCGACAGGGCUGCGUUUUCCAGGAGCGGCAUGGCUGGGAGAGGCCUGGCUGGUUCAGCCCCAGGGGAGCAGCCCCAGUCCUGGAUUACGACUACUAUGGCGCGUACGGCCAGGAGCGCCACAGGGACUACACCUACAACCGGCUGCUGGGGGAUGAGUACACCUUCGACUUCCCCCCCCACCAUGACAUUAUCAAGACCGAAUGUUUAACGUGCAGAAACGCCCUGGCGCUCUUUGACAUGUCUUACUUUGGGAAAUUCUACCUCGUUGGUCCUGAAGCAACAAAAGCGGCAAACUGGCUGUUCACUGCUGACGUGAGCAAAGCACCAGGCUCCACUGUGUACACCUGCAUGCUGAACAAGCGGGGUGGCGUGGAGAGCGACCUGACCGUCAGCCGCAUCAGCCCCGGGGCCCCAGCCUCCCCCUUGGCCCCCACCUUCGAAGGGGACGGCUACUACCUGGCUAUCGGUGGGGCAGUGGCUCAGCACAACUGGUCCCACAUCACCACUGUGCUGCAGGACAUGAAGCUCCAGUGCAAGCUCCUCGACUGCUCGGAGGAGCUGGGCAUGAUGAGCAUCCAGGGCCCCCUGAGCCGUGUUGUCCUCCAGGAAGUGCUGGACACCGACCUCAGCAACGAGGCUUUUCCCUUCUCCACGCACAAGCUCGUCAUGGCCGCAGGGUGCACGGUCCGUGCCAUGAGGCUGUCGUUCGUCGGGGAGCUGGGCUGGGAGCUGCACGUGCCCCGGGCGGACUGCGUGAAGGUUUACCAGGCAGUGAUGCAGGCGGGUGCCCGGCACGGCAUUGCCAACGCUGGCUACAGAGCCAUCGACAGCCUCAGCAUCGAGAAAGGAUACAGGCACUGGCACGCAGACCUGCGCCCCGAUGAUACCCCGCUAGAAGCAGGUUUAGCCUUCACCUGCAAGCUCAAGUCCAGCAUCCCCUUCCUGGGCCGGGAGGCUGUGGAGGCUCAGAAAGCCAAGGGCAUCUUCCGCCGGCUCGUCUGCUUCACCACCGAGGAGAAGGUGCCAAUGUUCGGCCUGGAGGCGGUCUGGCGGGAUGGGGAGGUGGUCGGCCACAUCCGUCGAGCAGACUUUGGAUUUACCAUCGACAAAACCAUCGCCUACGGCUACAUCCGUGACCCGGCGGGGGGCCCGCCCCCAGCACGGCUGCUCAGAACCUUGCCAUGCUGCUUGUGGCCCAUCCUUCCCAAGGAUGUGGCCCUUCAGUGACCAGGUGUGAUCUCCCUGGCUUUGGGGACAGGGGUCCAGGAUGGGAUGUCUCUGCAGCAUCAGGGCUAGAGAGUCACAGGAGCACAAGAGGUCUCGCUGGAUUUCGUGCGGAGCGGCAGCUAUCAGCUGGAGCGGAUGGGGGUGCCCUACCCUGCACAGGCACACACCAGGUCCCCGUUUGACCCGGACAACCAGCGAGUGAAGGGCUUCUACUGAGUGCGGGGCUGGCGAGCAGGGCUGCAGCUGCGAUGGGAGAGGGAAGAUGCCAUUGGGAGCUGCCAGCUGAAUUCCCAGCCCUGGGUGCCCCAGGCGGCUCCAGGGUCUGCUGGGAGAGCCAAGGAAUCACCUGCAGCGAACUUAUCAACCAAAAUUGGGUUAAAUUAUAGGCGAAGGUGAGAAAGAGAUGCCAAAAAGUCCUAAGAUGUUGUUGCUCUGUUUUCUAAAUGAAGCAGUGCUGCUAAAGCAAUAACUCUUUUCCUUGGGUUAAGUGGCCUGAAAACAACGUUCUGCUCGGCUGCAAAUGAA